rnacentral:rRNA from 1 species
CCUUCGGGGUGAGUGGCAGACGGGUGAGUAACGCGUGGGAACGUGCCCUUCAGUUCGGAAUAACCCAGGGAAACUUGGGCUAAUACCGGAUACGUGCGAGAGCAGAAAGAUUUAUCGCUGAAGGAUCGGCCCGCGUCUGAUUAGCUGGUUGGUGGGGUAAUGGCCCACCAAGGCGACGAUCAGUAGCUGGUCUGAGAGGAUGAUCAGCCACAUUGGGACUGAGACACGGCCCAAACUCCUACGGGAGGCAGCAGUGGGGAAUAUUGGACAAUGGGCGCAAGCCUGAUCCAGCCAUGCCGCGUGAGUGAUGAAGGCCUUAGGGUUGUAAAGCUCUUUCGUCCGGGACGAUAAUGACGGUACCGGAAGAAGAAGCCCCGGCUAACUUCGUGCCAGCAGCCGCGGUAAUACGAAGGGGGCUAGCGUUGUUCGGAAUCACUGGGCGUAAAGGGCGCGUAGGCGGCUUUGUAAGUCGGGGGUGAAAGCCUGUGGCUCAACCACAGAAUUGCCUUCGAUACUGCAUGGCUUGAGACCGGAAGAGGUUAGUGGAACUGCGAGUGUAGAGGUGAAAUUCGUAGAUAUUCGCAAGAACACCAGUGGCGAAGGCGGCUGACUGGUCCGGAUCUGACGCUGAGGCGCGAAAGCGUGGGGAGCAAACAGGAUUAGAUACCCUGGUAGUCCACGCCG